UGGGCAUCUGAGUGUUAAUUAAGGGUCAUU
rnacentral:piRNA from 1 species